UACGGAGGGUGCAAGCGUUAUCCGGAUUCACUGGGUUUAAAGGGUGCGUAGGAGGGCAGGUAAGUCAGUGGUGAAAUCCCCCGAGCUUAACUUGGGGAACUGCCGUUGAUACUAUCUGUCUUGAAUAUCGUGGAGGUGAGCGGAAUAUGUCAUGUAGCGGUGAAAUGCUUAGAUAUGACAUAGAACACCAAAUUGCGAAGGCAGCUCGCUACACGAAAUAUUGACUCUGAGGCACGAAAAGCGUGGGGGAUCAAACAGG
rnacentral:rRNA from 1 species